rnacentral:rRNA from 1 species
AUAUGGCUCAGGAUGAACGCUAGCGGCAGGCCUAACACAUGCAAGUCGAGGUGCAUCACGAGGUAGCAAUACUUUGGUGGCGACCGGCGCACGGGUGCGUAACGCGUAUGUAACCUACCUAUAACAGGGGCAUAACACUGAGAAAUUGGUACUAAUUCCCCAUAAUAUUCGGAGAGGCAUCUCUCCGGGUUGAAAACUCCGGUGGUUAUAGAUGGACAUGCGUUGUAUUAGCUAGUUGGUG